CCUACGGGAGGCUGCAGUGGGGAAUAUUGGACAAUGGGCGAAAGCCUGAUCCAGCCAUGCCGCGUGUGUGAAGAAGGCCUUCGGGUUGUAAAGCACUUUCAGUGGGGAAGAAAGCCUUGGGGCUAAUACCCUCGAGGAAGGACAUCACCCACAGAAGAAGCACCGGCUAACUCCGUGCCAGCAGCCGCGGUAAUACGGAGGGUGCGAGCGUUAAUCGGAAUUACUGGGCGUAAAGCGCGCGUAGGCGGUCUGAUAAGCCGGUUGUGAAAGCCCCGGGCUCAACCUAGGAACGGCAUCCGGAACUGUCAGGCUAGAGUGCAGGAGAGGAAGGUAGAAUUCCCGGUGUAGCGGUGAAAUGCGUAGAGAUCGGGAGGAAUACCAGUGGCGAAGGCGGCCUUCUGGACUGACACUGACGCUGAGGUGCGAAAGCGUGGGUAGCAAACAGGAUUAGAUACCCUUGUAGUC
rnacentral:rRNA from 1 species